rnacentral:rRNA from 1 species
UACGAAGGGAGCUAGCGUUGUUCGGAAUUACUGGGCGUAAAGCGCACGUAGGCGGGCCGCUAAGUCAGGGGUGAAAUCCCGGAGCUCAACUCCGGAACUGCCUUUGAUACUGGCGAGCUAGAGAUCGAGAGAGGUGAGUGGAAUUCCGAGUGUAGAGGUGAAAUUCGUAGAUAUUCGGAAGAACACCAGUGGCGAAGGCGGCUCACUGGCUCGAUACUGACGCUGAGGUGCGAAAGCGUGGGGAGCAAACAGG